rnacentral:lncRNA from 1 species
UCCUACCCUCCACCCCAUAAAUAAGGGAAAAUAAAACAGUUGACAACGAGCUUUUUUACCAGCUCUCUGGUACUAACUUUUAAGGGCAUGAAUGAAAACAAGAACUCUCUGAAGGCUCCUAUGACACUAAUUAAAAUGUCUAAUUACGAAACAUUGCCAUUUAGUUGUCAGGUUGCAUGGUAGGAGUUAGACCUCUGUUUGCAUUAAUAUCUUUUCGGUAAGUCCAAUCUGUGUGUAUAUAUUGUUGUUUAUAUAUAUGUUCUAACAAGAAUUCUUCGAAGUAUGACUUGCAUCUUUUUCACGAUGCAAAAUCUUACACGUAUAUUGUUUAGAUAAAAAUCUACCAUUCAGGUUGCAAUUUUUGGUUAGUAUCAAUUUUACUAUUAGUUCAUUAUUUUGAUUCUAUUCAAUAUAAAUUUCUUUUUGCGUGGAUUUUGAAAAUGAGAGUCCACCAUCUGAAACUAAGCCCGCUAAAGAGACAAGACGUGUUACUGUCUUGUCCAAUUCAUCUUAAAGUAUGAGGCAACAAACCUUUGAGUUUAGGAGCUUGAUUUGGGUUGUGAAAUACUUAUCCUGGAAGUAUCUUAAAGUUUUAUUUGCUAUCUCAGGCUUCAUUAACGGCUAUAUUCAUCUUUAAAUUCAAUAAAACAAGUUCUGUAACUGAGACGUAUUUUUAUCCUUGCAGCUGCCACCUGCACCUCCGUUCCACUUUAGAAGCUUCUGAAAACCAGCAACUGGGGACUCAGGUGCCUCCAAUUGAUCCUAUUGUUGAUCCCCGUCCAAGAUAAUGGAAGUUUGAGACAAGAUUAGUGUCUAAACCUUUGCGCGUAAGGAAAAACUUGGACAAGGUUGUCUGAAAUAGUCUUGAAUGAUAGUCUAACCAAGAUUUUCGUUCUCCAGGGAUUCUGCUGCAGAUUAUAUGGUGUUGAAUCUAAUGUAAGAUUGCUCGGCAAGAACUUGCCACGAUGCAAGGUAAGAUCUGCACUAGAUAAUUAUGUUUUACAUUUUGAUUUCUUAGACUAGGAAACAUGGGCAGAGCUAGGGGCGUGAUACAAUCUAGAUGGUCAUCGAGCAUUGGAGGCUACUUUCAUAAUGAUGCGACUACAUGUAUAAUUUCCCCAACAAUUAGACUAUAUUACAUUUGGUAGUUAUAUUUGUAAUAGUUAGCUCACUAGUAUUAAUAGCACUUAAGGCUCUCAUUUUAGAGUUAGUUUAUUUUGAUAUUGUGAAUGAAAACUUAUUGAGAGUGUUUAAGAUUAAUUCCUAUGUUGGUUGAUUACUUGUUAAGGUGAACUUGCAAGGGGAUUGUUUCCCUUUGAGUGUUGUUCAUAUAGUUUUGGGUCAAUUAAGUCUUAAAUUGAG